AAGCACUAGCAGCCUGGAGAAGGUCUGCCUCUGCUAGGGGUUUCUUUCUGAGAAUCCCUAUUGACAGUCCCACUUUCCUUGGGAGGGGGGAAAUCCCAACGUCUGCCUUGACAGGGGGCAGAGCUUUGAUCAUUUCUAUUCAGCCUUGACUUGGCCUGCGAUUUAGGUCCUCAGUCUAGUAGUCAGCAGGCUGCCUUUUCACUUACUUCGCCUGUGCGUGCGCGCACACAUACACACAGUCACCCUUUACAGGUCUAAGCAGGCAGCAGCGGAGUGUCACAGCUCCGGCCAAGGCACAGUGCUCUGAAGAGAGCUGAACCAGUCUCCAUGGUGGCAGGAGGGGGCACUGGAGGUGACAACCAGGGAGAAGAUGCAGUCUGUUUUCAAGUUUGGAAACUACAAGUUUAUUGACCAAUUCAUCGAUCCUUCUGAAGUGAAUCCGCUUAGUGCAAAAAGGCUGUAGAAAAUCUGUGUGUACAUUCCAGUUGAAUGCAGCAAAGACUGAGGCUGCUCCCUUCAGAAUUUAGCGCAGGGAUCUAUAAAGACAUCCAUACUGAAGUAUUUCUUAAUUACCCACAGACUAAACAAGCUUUGCAUUGACAUAGCUUCAAAGUGGAUGAUUGAUCGUACCCGCCAGCUGGCUAAUAUCAUAAUUAACAAAGUUGCUACCAUGUCUGAGAAGUUUAAUCGAAAGAAUUUGCCAGCAGUAUGAUGCUAUUGUCACCCACAAAGAUCAUAAGCAUGGCAGAGUCGACUUUUUGGACUAAUGGAGCUGCAGAACUAUGUGGGAAGAAUGAGAAGUAGUACACCUGAAAGCUAUUAAGAUGUGAUAAUAAAAAAGGACCAUGAUUUAGUUUGGGCAAAGCUGUUUGAAUAGCAAAAUGACUCUCCAGAAUCAAGAGAGCAGAAAAGGAUGUCCUGCAGAAGAGUUUCAGGACAAAGAAUGCACUGAGGCUAUCAAAAAAACAGGUAAG